rnacentral:rRNA from 1 species
GACGGAGGGUGCAAGCGUUGUUCGGAAUUACUGGGCGUAAAGCGUACGUAGGCGGUUUGUUAAGUCGAAUGUAAAAGCCCGAGGCUCAACCUCGGAACCGCAUUCGAUACUGGCGAACUAGAGGAUGAUAGAGGAAAGCGGAAUUCCGAGUGUAGCGGUGAAAUGCGUAGAUAUUCGGAGGAACAUCAGUGGCGAAAGCGGCUUUCUGGGUCAUUCCUGACGCUGAGGUACGAAAGCGUGGGGAGCAAACGGG